GACGAACGCUGGCGGCGUGCCUAAUACAUGCAAGUUGAGCGCUGAAGGUUGGUACUUGUACCAACUGGAUGAGCAGCGAACGGGUGAGUAACACGUGGGGAAUCUGCCUUUGAGCGGGGGACAACAUUUGGAAACGAAUGCUAAUACCGCACAAAAACUUUAAACACAAGUUUUAAGUUUGAAAGAUGCAAUUGCAUCACUCAAAGAUGAUCCCGCGUUGUAUUAGCUAGUUGGUGAGGUAAAGGCUCACCAAGGCGAUGAUACAUAGCCGACCUGAGAGGGUGAUCGGCCACAUUGGGACUGAGACACGGCCCAAACUCCUACGGGAGGCAGCAGUAGGGAAUCUUCGGCAAUGGACGAAAGUCUGACCGAGCAACGCCGCGUGAGUGAAGAAGGUUUUCGGAUCGUAAAACUCUGUUGGUAGAGAAGAACGUUGGUGAGAGUGGAAAGCUCAUCAAGUGACGGUAACUACCCAGAAAGGGACGGCGAACUACGU
rnacentral:rRNA from 1 species